rnacentral:rRNA from 1 species
UACGAGGGGCCCAAACGUUAUUCGGAAUUACUGGGCUUAAAGAGUUCGUAGGCGGCAUUGCAAGUAGGGUGUGAAAGCCCUCGGCUCAACCGAGGAAUUGCGCUCUAAACUGCAGUGCUCGAGGAACCUAGAGGUGAGCAGAACAGAUGGUGGAGCGGUGAAAUGCGUUGAUAUCAUCUGGAAUACCGGAGGCGAAGGCGGCGACCUGGACAAGUACUGACACUCAACAACGAAAGCGUGGGGAGCAAACAGG